rnacentral:rRNA from 1 species
GAUGAACGCUGGCGGCGUGCUUAACACAUGCAAGUCGAACGAUGAAGCCCAGCUUGCUGGGUGGAUUAGUGGCGAACGGGUGAGUAACACGUGAGUAACCUGCCCUUAACUCUGGGAUAAGCCUGGGAAACAGGGUCUAAUACCGGAUAGGAGCGUCCACCGCAUGGUGGGUGUUGGAAAGAUUUAUCGGUUUUGGAUGGACUCGCGGCCUAUCAGCUUGUUGGUGAGGUAAUGGCUCACCAAGGCGACGACGGGUAGCCGGCCUGAGAGGGUGACCGGCCACACUGGGACUGAGACACGGCCCAGACUCCUACGGGAGGCAGCAGUGGGGAAUAUUGCACAAUGGGCGCAAGCCUGAUGCAGCGACGCCGCGUGAGGGAUGACGGCCUUCGGGUUGUAAACCUCUUUCAGUAGGGAAGAAGCGAAAGUGACGGUACCUGCAGAAGAAGCACCGGCUAACUACGUG